AAAAAAAGAUACAACCUAAAUGCCUACAUAUAGCACACACUUUGUGGUAUAAUCACACAGUGGAAUUUAUGCAGAAGUGAAAAUGAACUGCAGUACACAUACCCACAUACAAAGUUUAAUGUUGAGCAGAAGAUUUAAGACAGAUGAAUACAGACCGAAAGAGUCCAUUUAUGUAAAAUAUAAAAACAGUAUCAUGUUUAGGAUUUCAUUCACAGGUGAAGAAUUAAAAAGAAAAGCAAGAAGGUGAUUAAUACAAGAGUCAGGGUCAUGGUUACUUGUUGGGUGAAGGAAUCUGGGAAGAGCAAACAGGGACCCUUUCUAAGAUGCUGAUAGUUUUCUAUAUUUUAAGCUGGGUGGUGAGUUCAUGGGUACUCAUUUUAUUAUUUUUUUUUAGUUUUUGGUUAAACAGGGUCUCACUCUGUCACCCAGGCUGGAGUGCAGUGGUGCGAUCUUGGCUCACUGCAACCUCUGCCUCCCAGGCUCAGGUGAUCCUCCCACUUCAGCCUCCCUCAUUUUAUUAUUCUUCUUUAAACUAUACAUACACAUUUCAUAUGCUUUUUUUUAAAUAUUUCAUAAUACUAAAAUCAAGUAGACAUGCUAAGUGAAAGCCAUUGACAAAGAACCACAUAUUAUAUGUUCCAUAUAUGAUAUGUCUGGAAUAGGAACAUCUACAAUCACAGAAAGUAGAUGCCCGGGUGCGGUGGCUCACAUUAGGCAUUUCUUAAACUGAAACCUUAUCUUUUCCAUCAGGGUCCCCCAACCACCGGGAUUUGGUGCAGCAUGAAGCCACUAGCAGGGCCUUAGUAAAUAAUCAGGCCGAUUGAUCAGGCAUCCUUACACACUCAACAGCCAGUGGCCAGGGCCUCUCUACACGGUCAGAAACUGGGAUCCACAGUAGAUCCGGGGCAGACAGGGCUCUUGUUUUUCCCUGGGUUACCUGUUUCCCGCAGUUACCUCUAUCCUGGUCACUUCAUGGGAGAGAUCCUUUAUCGUGGAGUCUUGAUAGGACUUGAUUUGGGUGAUUAACUCCAGGAAGACUCGGCCUCGAUAAGCUAAACCAUCCCUAACAGAGUCGGGAAUACACUAGGGCAAGCGAGAGGAAAACGGAGAAAAGGGGUGAGAGAAAAAGAACAGGCCAAUCUCCUUUGAAACCCCUGAGGCAAAGACAAGGUUGUCCAGUCACUGCCUGCCCGGGGCUUACUGCAACCACAAUCCCGGAGAAGAAUUCCAGAAACCUCCACGCCGGGAAACCUCUGGGCAUUGAGCCCUCUUCUGCACCCUGGGAUCCUGCCUGCCCCAUGGAAUACCGUGCUCCCACCAUGCUUCAGGCUGGGUGGUAACUGUGAUUACCACUGAGUUUGCACUACCCGCCUGGCCAAUCAGAGCCUGCCCUGCCUCCUUGGCAACUGUGAGCCACGGGGAGCACACAUGACCUAAGGAGGACAAUUAGAAUGCUUCCCUGGCCUUCCCUGCUGGAGGCUGUGUGGUGAGGUUCCCAGCCGGGAAGUCUGACUGAGGCAGGAGGGAAUGAGGCAGGGGGGAAGGAGAGUGAGGACCUCCUAGUGGCCUUGAGGACCAAUGCCUGUGGUUCUUCCUCAGCAUCCUUCCCUGCCUCGUUCCUUCCCAGGGCCUCUUUGCACAGUCAGAAACUGGGAUCCACAGUAGAUCCGGGCGGACAGGGCUCUUGUUUUUCCCUGGGUUUAAGCCUGUUCGAGUCGGGUUUCUGGCAUUUACCGCCAUUCCUGAAUAACCUCAUGCUUCCUCACACUUGCCUGUGCUGUGUCCUCCGUCCUUCGCGCCCUUCCCACCUGCUGAAAAUCUUACCAUGGUCUCCUCUCAAAGCCCCUUCCUCAGGGAAAGCCCAGAGCUUCCGCUUGCUCCUUUCUUGUGCCCCCACGCCUGUCCCACAUGCACGUGGCUGCUCAUGGACAGGCUUCACGUCCUCCACAAGACCCCGAGGGACAGAAACCAGGGCCGGGGCCUCGGGGCACGUCCCAGGCCCUAGUGCUUUACAUGGGGAAGCUCUACCUCCACUGUACCCUAGAGCUGAUGUGAGAAGCUUACAGCGCCUUCUUCCUGGAUCCUGAAAGGGGCCUUUUUACCCCCAUGCAGAGUCAGGAAGCUGGGGCCAAAGCAGGGCAGGAAGCCGGAGUACACUCCUGGAAGGAGAGAGAGUGAGAAGGGUCGGGCGCAGGACGAGGGGUGUA
rnacentral:lncRNA from 1 species